AAAUGGUGUUUAAAGCAAUGUAGAAUUCACCACCUUUACUCCUGAAGAUCUACAGUACAUGAAGGGUUUACCAGCUCUGGUUUUGUGGCUUAACCCAACAACAGAAGACAUGUAAGUAGCCCUUUGAAAUAUUUGUUUUGUUGAAAGAUGAUUACUUAAUUUGACAGCUACCCUCCAAGCAUUCAAUCAGUUAGAUCAAAGACACAUGGGGUUUUUUUAGAGACCGAAGACAGAAUACAAGUUUUUAUUGUUAAGAUAGCUGUCUUACUGCAGAAAUGAGAACUGAGGAGAAAAUAUAGAAAACAGGUUAGCAGCUUUUAACCAUAUAACUGGAGUGUCUCACUGGUUACCCUUCUUCCACCAAAUUUGUGAUAAGCCUAACAGAUCACCCAAGGCUGCCUUCACCCAGCCCUGACCAUUCCAUUUUCCCACCUCAUUUCUUAGCAUUUGUGCAAAUGUAUCACAAGUUCCGCCCCUGGCAGCCUAACUUCUAUUUUCUACCUGUCUAUUUCUACCCUCUGACAUAUCUAUGAGAAUACAGAAUUUCUGCACUUUGAUUUUUCACAGAAACUUCAUCCCAAACCCAACCUUAAGUUUUAAACCCUUAGUUCCCUUAUGAUUCAGAUUAAGUUCAUCUCCUCUGGACAGAUAUUCCUGGAACCUCCUGGGCAGUUUCCCUCAGGUAUCAUAUUUCUAAAUGUAUUACCUGUUUUAGCACCGGCAUCUCUUUGCUGUCAGCUUUUAGUAUUAUUUAUGCGCUCAAAAAAAGCACAAGUCUCAUCUAUAUUUAACAUGACAUUUUAAUAGGCAAGUAAAACCAGUAAUUCUCAGCAAGUCUUUUGAUGUGUGAAAUUUACUCAACCAAAAUAUAAUACGUGAAGCAAUCUUAAAUCUAUUUUACUGCUUCUGUACUAACAUUCAGAAAUCUUUUUUAUUUAAAUCUGAUAAUUGAAGAAAACCUGAAUAAGAUAUCCCAAAUAUCUACAAACUCCUGAAACAGAUAUAAUUUGUUUGGCUUUGCCUUCUCAAAGAAAGAUAAGAAUCUGUGUAAGUAUAUAAAAAUCCUCCAUCAGCAAGAAAACAAAAAACAGAUUCAAUAUCCUCAUCCAAAAGAAUAUAAUCCACUUCAUAAUUUCCUGCCUCUAGAGCUAAUGAAGAAACAAAUACCUGACAGAAGAUAGUUAUAACAUAUAUAUAUAACCACUAUAUAUAUAGUGUAUAUAUACAUAACCACUACUGGAAGAUAGGUCAACACAGCGUCAGUGCAAACGGUCUGAGUAUAGAUGUGAUGCAGAAUAGGAUUUUAUGGAAAGCUCUGCACAUUUUCCAGUUUUAGGAUAUAAGCCAAUGCUUGUUAAGUCCAGCAAGAGAGCUUCCUCUAACUUCAAGGGGCAUUGAAUCAGUUCUUAAUGUAAAAAAGCCAAUUACUGCAACAAUGCACUAGAUUUACUCUUUACAACUCACAGUGAUCAAAAAAUCUAGUUUCACUGCUUGCUACUAGGCUAUUAAUGACAACUUACAUAGGCCCCCAAAUGCUGUUUUUCUUUUAAUAGGCCAUGUUAAAUAUUUCCAUUCUGGAAAGCAUGCCAUUUUGGCAGUAGACCCUCAUGCGUGCAGAGCACUAGAACAAAGUAGCAGUAAAUGUUCCUUACACACUAAAUACAUAGAAAUAUUGAUAUGUAUUUCUAAAUACAUAUAUGUAUAUUCUAAAUCCCAGCAGCUAGAAUAUAGGUGGAAGCAAACAACUUGAAAAAAAAAAAAGAAAAUAAAAAUAUGUCAGACUGAAUAAAAGGUUGUGGUGAGCAGUGGCAACAUUGGAAAAUAGUUCAAUAACCAUAACAUUCAUGUUUUAAGCAUCUCAUAUAUGAAGUGUUGUUUGAACUUUGUUGUUGGAGAACUAUUGGGAGAGUGUCUCAUACAAAAUUUGUGUCAUGAACCUAAACAAAUUAUUUUUUCCUUUCUUCAAUGUGAGCUUUACUCACUACAGAUGUUCUCUUUCUCCAAACUUAUUAUUUUUAAUGAAAUAAUUAUAUUGCCAUGGGCUUUAUGACAUCAUACUUGGUUUUACAUCGAAAACAAUAAUUGUUUUUGUUAUUGAUUUCACAGCAACCAGAAAGCUAAGUGUAAAAGAAUAGUUAAUUUAAAACCCAAAACCAUCUUAGUAAUAAAAGGUGAACUUAGGAAAGGACUCAUUAAGUACAAUUGGUUUUUUCACACAAUCUUUUAUUGAUUAAAUUUGGUUCCAGCAUAAAGUUUUGUCUCAAUAGACAUUCCGUCCUGGUGCUCUAACACCCUGGGAGACUGCUCCAAGAUUACAUGAAGCCCAACACUUCGAAGCAGCUAAUUCCAUUUCAGGUUAGUAUUUAUCAAAUGCAGUAUACUACUCACUUUUAAAUG
rnacentral:lncRNA from 1 species